AUACGGGAGGCAGCAGUGGGGAAUUUUGGACAAUGGGCGAAAGCCUGAUCCAGCGACGCCGCGUGGAGGAUGAAGGUCUUCGGAUUGUAAACUCCUUUUAGAGGGAACGAAUAAAUUGACGGUACUCUCAGAAAAAGCCACGGCUAACUACGUGCCAGCAGCCGCGGUAAUACGUAGGUGGCGAGCGUUACUCGGAAUUACUAGGCGUAAAGCGCUUGUAGGUGGUUGGAUAAGUCUGUAGUGAAAUUUCACGGCUUAACUGUGAAAGGUCUACGGAAACUAUCCGGCUUGAGUGUGGUAGGGGUUGACGGAAUUCCCGGUGUAGCGGUGAAAUGCGUAGAUAUCGGGGGGAACACCAAUGGCGAAAGCAGUCAACUGGGCCAAUACUGACGCUGAGGAGCGAAAGCUAGGGGAGCAAACAGGAUUAGAUACCCGAGUA
rnacentral:rRNA from 1 species